UAUCCAAUCUCGAGAAAGAGCACGAGGCCACUGUGAAAGUGAUAAAAGAGCACGAACAGAGCCAUCAAGAUCAUCUUUUAAUAGAUGAGAACGAGCGUCUUCCAGCGUUUUUUUCACAGAAACAAUAUCAGGAGACUUAAAUACAGCAGCGGGAAGUUGAGACAGUAUGAUGCUCUUCAAAUGACCAAAAAAUCCACUUUCUGUAGUGAGGAAACAGGUUUUGUAAAUUUCCUUUGAUAACGUGUCAAACUUCGUCUGCAGCUCUUCUUUGUCUAAGAUCGGCCCGGAGUCCACAAUUUUCUCAAUAACACGUGAUGCUAAAGCAGCCAACUCAUCAUCUUUAGUGGCUUCUUUUAAUGUAUUUACGUGUUGACGAACUUCAGAAAGUUUAUGGAAACGCAUGUCUUUGUUCAAAUCAUCUAGAGUAUUGCUAACAUCAACUAAUCUAGUUACACGGCCGUUUUCAUGUAAAACAACUCUAACUAGUUCUUGCAAUUGCUGGAAUGAAUUUCUUAACUCUUGUAAACGUCCCAACCUUGAACCACGUUCUUGUUCGACCUGGGCUUUAAUAGAUUGUAAGUGUAAUUUCUCCAA